AUGGGGCCUGGACCUCUGUUGUCAUAUCUUAUCCAAUCAUCUCCUGAACAUUCUCUUUCAUUUCCUACAGACUCCAUAUUGGGCCCUCUUACAUCUGACCAUUGUUCCUCUAUGUCUGUGCCUCUCCUAUCAUGUGCAGAACCCCUGAAGUUAGUCCCUUUCCAUUUGUCUCCCCGAUUUAGACUGCUUGUAUCUGGCCGCAGUUCUCUAAUACCUCCCCUUAUAGGCCUUGAACCCCUCAAGUUUCGUCCUGUUCUAUCAGCUCCUUGGCCUACAAUGUCUUGUCUCUCUUGGAUAGGUUCUGAUCCGCCAAAGUCAACCCCUCCCCAGUUAUCUCUUCUUGGCCUGAGACCUUCUGAAGUUGGACCUUUCUGUCUGAUACCUGGGCCUCUAAAGUCUGGACCACCAGAUAUUCUGCGUACUGGUCCAAGGCCCUCCAUGUUCGGAUGUCUUCGUUCAGGCCCAGGUUCCAUUGAGCCUGAGCACCCAGGCUUGUGUCUGACAGGCUCGGGGCACAAAAUGCCUGGACAUCCACUUUCAAAAUUGGGGUCUCCAAAGUCUGGACCUCUUGGACACAUCAUUUCAGGCCCAGGACCCUCCAUAACAGUUCUUUCAAGCCUCUCCCCCAUAAUGGGUGGACCAUGCCAAUCAGACUCUGAGCCCUCCAUAUUUCCUCCUGGUUUAAAAUGUGGGUUUUCUGGACCUCUCCUGUCAGCUCCUGGGCCCUCUCGGUUUGGAUCUGAAUACUGUAGCCCUGGUCUCCUCAUGUCUGGACCUCCUGGCACUCUACUGUUGGGCCCUGGACCCUCCAGACUGGAACAUGGUCCUUCUGGCCUUUGUCCCCUCAUAACUGGACCCCUCCUGUCAAGUCCUGGCCCCUCAAUAUUUAGCUGUCCACUUCGUGGCCCAGGACCCCUGAUUUGUCCUCUGUGUGCUCUACCAUCAGGGCCUAUACCUUCAAAGCCUGGACCAGAUAUUUCAGGCCCCAUUCCAGUAAACUCAGUCCCUGGACCUCUCACAUAUGGUCCCCUCCUGUCAGCACCAUGUAUAUCAGUAUUUUCAUCUUCUAGACCAGUCCUGUCAGGUCUUUGA
ensembl:lncRNA